AUUCUGUGUUUUUGCCCUGUGCCAAGUAGUUAAAUCUAUUUUUGAAGACUUAAGCAUGGUUUCGUGUUGGCUGUUUACAGAGAAGACAGAUGACACUUUUUAAAAGAAAACCUGUAAGGCAGUAAAAUAGAUGUGAUAGAAUGCCACAUU